AAGUGAGGCUCGAAAGCAAUGGGGACUGCUAACUCCCACCCCCAAGGUUAAACCCCCUGGCUCACUUA
rnacentral:tRNA from 1 species